GCCGGAGUGGCGGAACUGGCAGACGCACGGGACUCAAAAUCCCGCGUUGUUCGCAACGUGUGGGUUCGACCCCCACCUCCGGCACCA
rnacentral:tRNA from 1 species